rnacentral:rRNA from 1 species
CCAGGAUGUUGGCUCAGAAGCAGCCACUCAUUCAAAGAGUGCGUAAUAGCUCACUAGUCGAGAGGUCCUGCGCCGAAAAUGUCCGGGGCUAAAACACACUGCCGAAGCUUUGGAAUUGAAUUAAUUCAAUUGGUAGAGGAGCAUUCUUAAAGGGACGAAGCAGUACCGAAAGGAGCUGUGGACUUUUAAGAAGAGAGAAUGCCGGAAUGAGUAGCGAGAGGAAGGUGGGAAUCCUUCCGGCCGAAUAUCUAAGGUUUCCAGAGUAAAGCUGAUCUGCUCUGGGUAAGUCGGGGCCUAAGGCGAGGUCGAAAGACGUAGUCGAUGGAUAACAGGUUGAAAUUCCUGUACUAUCCUGUAACAGAACUGUGGGGACACAGGCAGAGAGCGUGAGCCGGGAAUGGAAAGACCGGUACAAGCGAGGUAGGAGUCUGGUUGGCAAAUCCGCCAGGCAAUCUGAAGACGUGAUGUGGACUGAAAAUAAGUAGGGAAGCACGUGAGCUGACUGUCAAGAAAAGCCGCUAUUGUUUGCAGGAUACCCGUACCGUAAACCGACACAGGUGGAUGAGGAGAGAAUCCUAAGGCCGACGGGAGAAGCAUUGUUAAGGAACUCGGCAAAAUGACUCCGUAACUUCGGGAGAAGGAGUGCCAGUAAGAUGGCCGCAGAGAAUUGGCCCAAGCAACUGUUUAGCAAAAACACAGGUCUAUGCAAAACCGAAAGGUGAGGUAUAUGGGCUGACGCCUGCCCGGUGCUGGAAGGUUAAGGGGAGAGGUUAGCGCAAGCGAAGCUUUGAACUUAAGCCCCAGUAAACGGCGGCCGUAACUAUAACGGUCCUAAGGUAGCGAAAUUCCUUGUCGGGUAAGUUCCGACCCGCACGAAAGGCGUAAUGAUUUGGGCACUGUCUCAACAAUGCACCCGGUGAAAUUGAAAUACCAGUGAAGAUGCUGGUUACCUGCGCCAGGACGGAAAGACCCCAUGGAGCUUUACUCCAGCUUGAUACUGGGAUUCGGUAUUGCAUGUACAGGAUAGGUGGGAGGCUAAGAAGUGGUAACGCCAGUUGCCAUGGAGCCGCUGUUGGGAUACCACCCUUGCAGUACUGGGUUUCUAACCAGCAGCCGUGAUCCGGCUGGGGGACAAUGUCAGGUGGGGAGUUUGACUGGGGCGGUCGCCUCCGAAAGGGUAUCGGAGGCGCUCAAAGGUUCCCUCAGAAUGGUUGGAAACCAUUCGAAGAGUGCAAAGGCAGAAGGGAGCUUGACUGCGACACCGACGGGUGGAGCAGGUACGAAAGUAGGACUUAGUGAUCCGGUGGUAUAAAGUGGGAUUGCCAUCGCUCAACGGAUAAAAGCUACCCUGGGGAUAACAGGCUUAUCACUCCCAAGAGUUCACAUCGACGGAGUGGUUUGGCACCUCGAUGUCGGCUCAUCGCAUCCUGGGGCUGAAGUAGGUCCCAAGGGUUGGGCUGUUCGCCCAUUAAAGCGGUACGCGAGCUGGGUUCAGAACGUCGUGAGACAGUUCGGUCCCUAUCCGGCGUGGGCGUAAGAUAUUUGAGAGGAGCUGUCCUUAGUACGAGAGGACCGGGAUGGACUGGCCGCUGGUGUAUCUGUUGUCUUACCAAAGGCAUAGCAGAGUAGCCAAGCCGGGAAGGGAUAAACGCUGAAGGCAUCUAAGCGUGAAGCCCCCCUCAAGAUGAGAUAUCUCAUAACGUCAAGUUAGUAAGACCCCUUGAAGACGACGAGGUAGAUAGGGCAGAGGUGGAAGUGUGGUAACACAUGGAGCUGACUGUUACUAAUAGGUCGAGGGCAUAACCAA